UGUGAUUGUUUUUAAAAGCUGAAAAUAAUCGGUCCACUCUUAUCUUAAAGUGACCAGGUGGAAGCCAGUCUAAUGAGCUUCCACCAUAUGGUUUUCACCAGUCAUGUCUUCCCAUCAGUCCAGAUGAGAGAAACAUUAGAACAUAUGAACGCUGGUGGUUCCUUAACAUGAGUCUCAAUAUUCCCAGGUAAGAACUUUUAGGUAGUUUAUUAUAGGACUAUUUCCCUCUACCAUUUGUAUUUCAUUAACCUUUGACUAUUGACUUUUCUUAUAGGCACUUUAGUUUUGCCAGUGUAACAGUAUAGCUUCCGUCCCUCUCGCUCCUCCCUGGGCUCGAACCAGGAACACAACGACAACAGCCACCAUUGAAGCAGCGUUACCCAUGCAGAGCAAGGGGAACAACUACUAGAAGGCUCAGAGCGAGUGACUUUUGAAACGCUAUUAGCGCGCGCUAACUAGCUAGCCAUUUCACUUCGGUUACACCAGCCUCAUCUCGGGAGUUGAUAGGCUUGAAGUCAUAUACAGCGUAAUGCUCUGACGCACAACGAAGAGCUGCUGGCAAAAUGCAUGAAUGUGCUGUUUGAAUGAAUAUUUACGCACCAGCUUCUGCCUACCACCGCUCAGUCAGAUGCUUGUAUGCUCAGUCAGAUUAUAUGCAACGCAGGACACGCUAGAUAAUAUCUAGUAAUAUCAUCAACCAUGUGUAGUUAACUAGUGAUUAUGAUUGAUUUGUAUUUUAUAAUAUAAGUUUAACUAGCUAGCAACUUACCUUGGCUUACUGCAUUCGCGUAACAUGCUCCUUGUGGAGUGCAAUGAGAGGGGCAGGUUGUUAUUGCCUUGGACUAAGUUUGCAAGAUUGGAUCCCCCGAGCUGACAAUGUGAAAAUCUGUCAUUCUGCCCCUGAACGAGGCAGUUAACCCACCGAUCCUAGGCCAUCAUUGAAAAUAAGAAUGUGUUCUUAACUGACUUGCCUAGUUAAAUAAAGGUGUGUAAAAAUGUAUAUUAAAAAAUCGCCAAAACCUCUAGUCUGUACCCCCCCCCC